UCUGCCAAGUGAAAUGAGCAAGUCACAGAAAGACAAAUACCCUAUGCUUCUCCUAGUACGGGCUAUGUAAAGUAGUCAAAUUUAUAGAAACAGAAAGAACUGUGGGAUCCAGUGGGGGCAGGGAAGAGGAAACACAGAGCUGUGGGUACAGAUCUUCAGUCACAAAAUGAAUGCCAGAGAGGCGUUGUAUGGCAGGGAGAAGAGGUAGAGCCCUGCUGUAGGAUACACUGGUGCAUGGCUAACGGUAAUAGUAAAUGUAACGUUAUUGUUUCUAACCUACUAUACUUUUUAACAGAUUUCUUUAAGAGAAAAAUUGGGGUGAAGAAGCUGGGGCCUUUGAAACGUUCUUGCCUUCAACGAGGAAGUUCCGGGUGUGACAAAUACAAAGAGUUGUCUGGUCCGUUUUUGUAAAUCAUCACUGAAUAUAGGGUUUAUUCCAGCAAUAUAAUGAAACAGUACCUAUUCAGUGAAAUUCACAGCAUCAACAACUAAAGGAGGAAAGGCAUGUGAUUUUGUCGAAAGAUACGUUGAAAUAUAUAUGUAUGUACACUCUACCUGAAAAUAGCCUGAAAAUCAAACUGUCCCAAAUGACUAAUUUCCUCUCCUACACAAUCCCCGGGACCUAGAAGAAACGGAGCCCCACUGGCGCUUGGGAGAACAGCAAGGUUCCUCUCAACACACAGUUACUCGUUUACAGAAUAGCCGCAGCACCCAGAGCCAAAUGUGAACUUGAGCCUCUCGGUGAGCCGGCACGGGACACAAGCCUUGUCUUGUGAGAAAUAGAACUGAACUUCCCCAGAACCGCUUCAACCUCAGCGGGCCGCUGGGACGCGUACAACACGCUGAUUGGCCAGGAGCCCUUCCUGCCAGUGAGCAGGCGAUGACGCAGCAUGACUCCCUGCAGAGAGUAUAAAAGGCCGGCCGGCCAGGCGUGAUCGUCCUUUCUGCGAGCGGAACAGGCAAGUGUACACACCUUUCUUCUAUAAUACUUUAACUAUGUUCAGUAUCAAACACCGGGUCGUGGAAUUAGUGGUGGAACUUCUAGCUAACUUUGUCCUGCAUAAGAUCAGAUUGUAUGUACCUGAAUUAUUCAAGACAUUACUACAGAACCAGUGGAAGUUCACAGAUUGUUUAAAAACUAUGUGCCAUUUUCUAUUGAAGAAGACCCUUAUCUAUGUCCUGAGCAAUCUUGCUUCCAGAAUACACAAACCGAUGGCCGGAGAAGUCUUCCUAAAUAUGUCAUAUUAUUGUCGACACAAGAAGAGGUUUUCUGAACCCACAGUUGAGUUUGUGGUUUAGCUACCCUUAAACACCUAAGCGAUCUGGGUUCCUUGGGUGAAUACUUAGCACCGGGAGGACAGCAAAUUCUAAAAAUUGGUCCUAUGCACGUCCAACUCUGGACCCAGCCGGUGCCUACGACAAACGGCCACAUUCUGACGUGACAUAGUUCACAGACGGAAGCUUAUUUGCUGAUCUCCUCCUCGCGACAUCGUCUUUAUAUCUAGUAAAGCCAGUUAUUUAUGCCGCACCCAUCGUCUUUCUUUCAGAAGAACUUCCUCAAGCCUGCGGAGUUCCCCUUCGUCCACUGUCUCUCCUCCCCCGCUCAGAGCACAUUUCCGGUUCCUCUUGAAUCUGUGCCUCCCAGAUUUCAAAAAAAAAAAAAAGGUUUUGUUUUGCUUUGCAGCCUCAGUUCUUUCUUUUUUGACACAAAGGAGCAAAUAAACUUCGUAUCAACA